rnacentral:lncRNA from 10 species
CUGCUGUCACAAGUGGAAUUAAUGCCAUUAUAGGAGAGGCUUCAGAGAGCUGCCUGGCUCUUACACUCACAUCUUCUGCUAAGUGAGGACACAGCAUUUAUCCCUAUUGCCCACCUGCCCUUCCACCAUGUGAGAAUGCUGCAAGAGGCACCAUCUACGCAGCAAAGACAGAGCUUUCACCAGACACAGAAUCUGCGAGCACCUGGAUCUUGGACUUCCCAGCCUCUGGAACUGUGAUAAGGAUGUAGAAAAAUAAACAAUUUCUGGUUGAGUGCAAUGCUGCAAGACAUUCCUCGUCAAACCAAGUAACAUGUGAAAAUGAAGACGGAAAUCUGAGUUUUGUGCACUGGCUGUGGAGUAGGAAAUAGAAAAAUCAAAAUUGGACACCUGUUGUGGGCUAAUACUAGAGGAGUAGAAGCCAAAAUGCCCUUUUAUGUUGGACUGACUUUGACAGGUCUUGAAUCUUACUUUGCCCUUCAACUCUCUUAGUGUCAGAUUGAAACAAUUUCAAGAACUGAAGUGUGGUGAAAUAAGUAUUGCAGAAGUUUUGGAAGAAUGGAGAGGGACAAACACAGAAGCAGAGAAAGACAAAGACAAAAAGAGAGAAAUAAUUACUAAAUUGGUUCAAUGUGGUCUCAUUUUGCAGUAUCUAUCAGCUAAUCCUACAAGUAUAAGAAUGUUUCUCCAAGGCUGCCUUCUAUCAAAAUAUGCCCAUGGAUUUAUUUUGCUUGCAUUGACUUUAUCAGCCAUAUUGCAUAUUAAUAAUUAUAAAUAUGUUGGAUAAAUCUAAUGUAAUAUUAACCAUAAUAAAUUGAUGAAUAUAUUUUCUCCCUUUCUCUCCAUCUCUGUCUCUCUCUGCCUCUUUUUCUCUGUCUCUCUCUCUCUCUCAAUUGAGUUCUGUCUUCAAGAAGAAAUUAUCUCUAUUUCAGAAGGAAAAAUCUGCACUUGAGCUUGUUUUAUACACCAAAAUUUCUGUUAAAAAUUUAUACAAGCACCAUCUAUGUUAUUUUAGAAUAUUGAUAUCAAAUAUUUAUACACAGCUUGAAAUAAUGUUUGGAUAAACUAGAUCCAAGUUUGAUACAUGUAAACUAUAGAAAGUAUCCAAAAAAUGAAAGCCAAAACAUGUUGGAAAUAAGUCUCUCUAAACCAUCUAUAACUUGCUGUAAAACAAUUUUCUAUUACGGUUAACUUUCAAUAAUUCUCUCAAGAAACUAGCAAGUUUAUAAAAUAUUGUGGGCUGAAUAUCUAAUAGAUGCAUAACUAUUAACAUUAUCUUUAGCAUGUAACAUGUUUUUUAACGGUAGUAGAUAUAAAAUAUUUUUCCCAAGUGGUAGCAGAUGUUAAAAGUAGUGUUAUUAUCAUCAUAGAUGCUUAAAACGCUCUCCAUGAACCGUAGAAGCACCUACCUCUUCUUGCAUUGCCAGUUCAGAUCUAUCUGCACUGUUGAUCAUUGUGAUAUUCUUUCCAACAAUUUAAGCUUAACCAAAAUAUUUUAAGGUAUAGCACUGUGUCCAAAUCAAAUUUUAGAGAAUCUUAGUUUGGGGAUGCUAUAACAAAAAUACCAUACAUUGGGUCACUUAAACAAUAGACAUUUAUUUCUCACAGUUCUGGAUGUUGGAUCAUUCAAUACUAAGAUAUUGGUAGAUUCAGUUCUUGGUUAGAGUCAGCUUCCUGGCUUAUAGAUGGCCAGGUUCUCACUUGAUCCUCACAUGGAAGAAAGGAAGCUCUGGUAUUUCUCCAUCUUCUUUUAAGAGUACUAAUCUCAUCAUGGGGGCUUCACCUUCAUCAUCUCAACUGAGCCUAAUUAUCUCCCAAAGGCUUCAUCUCCUAAUACCAUUGCACUGGCAUUUAGAACUUCAACAUAUGGAUUUCAAAGGGAAACAUUUAAUUCAUCAACAGAAAUAUUAAUAUUUGGUACUUCCUUGUAUUCUUGUAUUCAAUAGGUGUGUAAUUUGCAACAAUGGGGAAUGGAGGAGUUUAAUAUAUUAAAUGACACACAACAAUUGAGUCUCUGGACUCAGGAUUUUGUUCAAAGUAGCAAGUAAUCAGACUUCCCAUUGGGGUUGAGGAAGAGAACUUCUGUGUCUUUGUCUGAUAUAGACAGACAUUUGGCAAGGGCUUCAUGUUAUCAGGAACAGUUUCAAAAGUAGAUGGCUAUACUAGACAUCUGGUCUAAUAAUUGGAAAUUCUUGGGUGUCACAAUAUGACAAGUCAUUCAAUUAUCAAUAUCUGAUUGUUGAAUGGCACUUAGUUAGGUUCUAGGGACACAGAGAUAGAUACUUAAAAGUAUGCUUCUGGAGACCUAAAACUCUGGUUGAGGAAAUAAAUGAGAAAACCAACAAUUUGUAAACACUGCUGCCACCAAGUUAAUAGUAAAUUAAGAGCAAACACUCUAAAAGUAUGCUUUAGAUUAUAAAGAAAAUAAGUUUUUACUAUCUUCAUGCUUACUUGCCUUAACCAUGAGCAAUGAAACAGUCAGGAGAGAUAAUUUACACUAGAUCAACAGAGAGUAUGUAAUAUUCAAUCCUCUCUACAAAGGAAUUAGAAAGGUAGAAAGGAUAAAAUGAAUCGAUGAGACAACCAAGAGAGUAAUACCAACAGGAAGCCACUAUUAUCUUUUCAGCUUGUGGGGACAAAAAGAGAAGGUGAAGUGACCAGAGUUGAGUAGCAGAAGACAUUUGGUGUCAAUGGGACAAUGGAGAAAGGGGCUGGUCUGUAGGCAAUUGAAGGAUUGCAGCCACUUCUGAAGGAUAUUCUACUCAGUACAGAGGAAGAGAGGAGCUGUGCAGGCUUUUUGCCUUGCUUAACACUCCAAACUCCUGCCAGUGCCUUCCACUGUGCAGAACUAAUUGGAAAUCAAUUGACAAGGGCAUCUAGAAAAUGUAGUUCUCAAGGCACCCUCUCCCAACACCCCAGGACAGAAAGUGCAAGACAGGUAUCAGAGAGCAAAUAUAAAAAAUGACUAUGACUUGUGCAAGUAAAUUAUUUUAGAUUUUGAAUUAUGCUAAAAGUCAUCCAAUGGCUUUUCAUGACAUUUACACUAAAAUAUAAACCCCUUACCUUGACCAAAAACAAUUCUAUGUAUUUCAUGUUGCAUAUAUUUCCCCAGUAUCUUUUCAGUACUCUUCCCUACACUUACUGGGGUUCAGACUUUAUUCUCCUGUUAACUGAUUUUGCUCAAGACCUAUUAGCUCUUCCUUCCUCCUGGAAUGGAAUUUUCCCUAACACUGCUUUGUUGAUGUCUUCUUGUCAUUAAGAUCUUGGUUUAAAUUAUAUCCCCUAUAGAAUUCUUCCUGGGCCACCUGGUCUAGAGUAGGCCCCUAUUCACUCAGUCACUCUUUGUCACUUCAACAUAUUUCAAUUAUAUGAAUAGCUCUUUUACCAUUUGACAUCAAACGCCUAAUUAUAAAGUGAUAUUUUAAAAAUGUAAAAACAAGAAAGCCUGUCUGUUCCUAAUAAAAUGUAAAUUCCAAGCAGGCAGGGACCUCACUUUUCUUAGUAUGAAAAGAAUGUCUCUCCCAUAGUUGCUCCUCAAAAUCUAUUUUUAAAUAACUGAAAGAAUCAGUGCGGCUAUGAGAAAUAUCAACCUUGCUUUGCAGAUGAAGAAAUUGAUGUACAGAGAAUUUAAAUACAAUGAAAUAUGCAGACUUGUAUAGUAGGUACUUUUUAAGCGCGGAUCCUAAAAUAAAGAAUUACGCAGUCAGAAGAAAUUUUAUUCGCUCUUCAUGCCAAGAAAAAAGAGAAAAAUAGAUACAUAUGUAUAAAUCUGUCAUGCUUUCCAGAGGGAUUGUGGAGAAACACAUCUUUAAGGACUUGAAAAAUCCCUCAAUAAAAAUAUAUUAUAUAAGAGUACUUCAGAGGAGGAUUCUAUUAUUUAAUUAUAGAUUUAUUAAUCAGAGACACUUAUUUGAUUCAUUUUAUUGUUAAGAUUUACUAGAAUCAUGCUGAUCAUUAUGCUUUAUUCAUGAUAGGGAUUUAUUUAUUUAUGUUGGGUAUUUAUAUUGUAAGUGGAUGUGCAGCAUGAUGCAUGGUUACUUUUGAAUAUUUACCUGCUGCCAGGUUGAAAAAGUUCUUGUAGUUCUUUGGAUAUGGAAUCCCAUUAUUCUUUUACAUUGCCACUUUUUAUCUUUGGCUUUCCUUCUUUCACAAGUC